GAUAUAAAAGACUUCUGAAUAAAUUUCCAUCAGGCAGAAGGAACUGCUCUUAGCUGUGAGACCACGCAGCCCUAUUUGGAAAGCUUUUUCUGGUGGAAAGAGGAACUAUCUUAGCCGGCUCUCUAGCAGAUCCUCUGCCUCCCGUGUUCCGUAUGAAGGAAGCCAUGUAUUAAAUUGGGAUGAGCCCUUGCAUUUCAUCAGAGAAAAAAUCUCAGCUGCAGGAGAGAAACAGGAUCAUCACAGAACUGUAAACCCAAAGGGAUGAGUGUUCCUAGCCUGAAGUGUUUGAAGAAAUGGUCACACUUAGAAGCAAGGCUGAGGGGCAAAUGCUCUCGUAUUCCUCAGAACUGGAUGCCGCCACGCUGCUGGAGGCAGCAACCGUGCACGGAAACAUUUAUACCAGCUUGAUAAUAGCCACAUGAGCCUUAAGUAGACAGUGUCCACUUUAAUGCACAUUAGCAACACUUGCCAAUUCUUCCUAUUUUAAUUUGUUAAUUUUCUCAAUCUUUGUUGGAUUUUCUAGAGGCCUGAAGAGGUGGAAUGUACAGAUAUAGAAGCUACAGGUGGAUUUAAUGAUUUAUGAAGAAGAGUACAUGUGCUUACCCAUACAUGUGCAUGCUAAAUGUGCACACAGAGACACACACAUGCUCACACACA